UGUCUUAUUGCCACCAAGUUUUAUUGAACCUUCUCCAUAGUUUUCGAUAGAUCUUUGGACCAUUUAUGCCAGGGGUUGAAUGGGAAUCCUUAACAUGGCUUGUGUCGUGAACUUUUGGCUGUGGCUUACCUCUGACUUGUCUUCCAAGGUUCAUGUGCUGGUGGCUUAGUCUCCACUGGAACACUGCAGAAAGCUGGAAGGACAUUAACAGUAUGAGGCAGGAAGUGGGUCUGGCUUGUUCACAUCUGUCGAGACAUUGGUGUGCAGAAUGCCCUUGGUGUUUAAUUGCAGAAUAAGUCAAAGGAGUGAAGCCUGCUGCCAGCCUGUGAGUCAUGCAGGAGCUACAUCUUCAGACACUAAAUGGACCCAGCCCUGCAUUCUGUGGAAACAGAGGUGGUCUACGUGGGCUUGCGAGUGUGCCUCCAAGAACAGCCACAGGAUAACUUGCAUCAAAUACAGCUGUAAUAGAAUUACAGGCGUGCACUAAGCCUCUCUUUUAAUCUGGCAACUGUACCUUAUUACCCAAUAAGCUUAAAGGACAAUAAAUUCCAG
rnacentral:lncRNA from 1 species